rfam:Catenaria anguillulae PL171 BCR44scaffold_405, whole genome shotgun sequence.
GCUCCAGUGGCGCAAUUGGUUAGCGCGUUCGACUGUUAAUCGAAAGGAUGGUGGUUCGAGUCCACCCUGGAGCG